GGGGGCGAAAUGGUUUCGACGGAGAUUCUGAUGCCCAAGGUAGCAUACCGAGCGUUUUUUUGUCCGCUCGUAAAUCCGGCAGAAAAAAACAUAAUCGCAGACGAUUAUAAUUACGCUGUAGCUGCUUAAGGCGGCUUCCGUCCUCCUGAAAUCCCUCUUGCAGAUUUCAGAUCGGGGCGUCGACUCUUGCAAGACCGCCGAUAGGGGUUUCCUGAGCCCUUUAGGUUGAAUUUUUCAGGAUAUACCGAAGCGCAUCCAUCCUGAGGGAGACGCAACGGCCAAUUUUAAAGUUCAGGAUAAGUAUGUAGAAGCCUGGGUUGAUUGUUUUCGGACGCGGGUUCAACUCCCGCCGCCUCCACCA
rnacentral:tmRNA from 1 species